GGAUAUUGUUCUUCUGUUAACUUGUGUGCAGGCACCUUAUGGGAAAAACGCUUCAUACCUUCUACGGGCAGUACACCUGGGUCGUAGCCAGGCUCCCAUAAUGUUCGAAACCCAGUUCGUUUCCUAAGCACUUGGAUCUGAGGUUUAGCAUAUUUGAGGAGACAGACAGACCUCGUGCCGUUCACUUUUCUUUGAAGGCGUGUGGAGUUGCAGCCAGUUUGCCGUUACUGAGAAGGGUCCACUUGUGCUCACUUCCUUGAUCAAAAUCAAUGUACGUGGCAUCUGAUCGAAUUCAUCAUAUAGAGCCCAUACCUAGCAUCACCCAAUGAACAUUGUAGCCAGCCUUACUUAGAACCAAGCCAACGCACUUCAUGUCCUGCUCCAACUAUGGUUACCUUUUUCCAAGAUUAAACAAAAAUAGGAAAGUGACUUGCAUUUCGUGAUGGAGACGAAGGGACGACAACAUCGAUGCACCUGGUUUGGUUGGAUUUGCUCCUCGGUUCGGUCGUCAUCAAAGCAAUAGUAAUCAGAAUCAGGUACAUCAGUUUGACAGGAUUGAUCCACCUCUACUUGUGGCUGAAACUUCACCACGGGCCCAGCAACUGAUGGUGAACGAUCCCGAGAAUUACUUCGAUUCGGCCUUUCUGUAGACCUCGCUGCACGUCCCUUUGAAAAGGGACGCUUCGAACUAUUAGAUCUUGACACGUUUUGACA